rnacentral:rRNA from 1 species
CGCAGCAGGCGCGAAAACUUUACAAUGCGGGAAACCGUGAUAAGGGGACACCGAGUGCCAGCAUCAUAUGUUGGCUGUCCAGAUGUGUAAAAUACAUCUGUUAGCAAGGGCCGGGCAAGACCG